rnacentral:lncRNA from 1 species
AUCAUUAUGAAGCACUAAAUAGAUUUUUAUAAUAAACUUAUCUAUAAAUAUAGUACAUAUUGCUAAUAUUUUCUACAAACCUAGUUUGACUAAUUUUCUACAAACCUAGUUUGACUAAGAUGAAUUACAUAGCCGAGGGGUGUAGAUAGACAGACAAAUAGCAGAUAGACACGUGGAAGCAACAUUAGCACAAUAAAGUUUUUUACACAAGUACAUUGGAAUAUAUAAUUACCACCACAUUGGAGGUAACAAACAUAUUCAAAAUUACAAACCAACGCAAUCCAAGACAUUGGAAUAAUUACCACCACAUUGGAGGUAACAAACAUAUUCAAAAUUACAAACCAACGCAAUCCAAGACAGUUUAACUGUGUGUUCGCGAGGUAUUUAUGGGUAGACUGAAAUGAUUGAUCGAGCGCCUAACACCGGCAAUAUCUUGUAAUCACUAAAUCCAGCUUCAAAAAAGAUUUUCU